rnacentral:rRNA from 1 species
UACGGAGGGUGCAAGCGUUAUCCGGAUUCACUGGGUUUAAAGGGUGCGUAGGUGGGUUGGUAAGUCAGUGGUGAAAUCCCCGAGCUUAACCUGGGAACUGCCAUUGAUACUAUCAGUCUUGAAUACCGUGGAGGUCAGCGGAAUAUGUCAUGUAGCGGUGAAAUGCUUAGAUAUGACAUAGAACACCAAUUGCGAAGGCAGCUGGCUACACGAAUAUUGACACUGAGGCACGAAAGCGUGGGGAUCAAACAGG